UAAGAAAAUUAGCUUUUUGCCUUUCUGUAGAGAUGAAAACACAGCUACUUUGGUCAUUUUCCAGAUUUUCACAAGUAAAUUUGAUUUGGUGCUGAUAACAGGAGGGGGGUAAUAGGCAAAGCAAAGGUUUGAAAGAGUCUGAAUUUAAUGGCAAGUUCAGAGCAGGAAUACACUGGGAAGAUCUACCUUUGCCACAAGGGCUCUGUGCAGGCAGAAAACAAAGCAGACUAGUGAUGUGGACCUGUGUUUUCUCCGAUGUGCCGCCACCGGUGCUGCCUGUCCUUGUGGGAAAAAACAGUAAUCUUCAGACACAGCUUACACUGCUAGGGGUGUAGCAGUGGGGUCAAGUACUUAUGGCUUUUUGCCAUUUGUAAGACCUAUGGUUCACCCACUGUGUGAACUCAACAUCUUCUUUCUGUAGCAUUUUUAUUUUCCUACCAUGUGUAGAGUGAUUACUGCUAAUGAUUAACAUGCGGGUGUCAUACUCUAGGGAUCAUUCGUUUACCCUAGGUAGUCAUACAGCGAAUGUUUCAUGGGUAGCUGUUUUCAUCAGAGAAGCAGCACUCUUGCUUCCUCACUGCUUUUUUAUCUGUUUCCAGAAGAGAUUCAGAAAUGUUAAGAGAAGAAUACCUACAGUCUUCAAAUCUGAGCUCCUCUGUAUGCGGACCAUGGGCAGGUUAGCUUUUAUGGAGAACAUAAAGAACUGGAAUGCAAACGCAAGUGUGUACAGAGGGCCAGUUAAGGUACUCAUUCAGAAACCUGAAGGAUCAGCUAUGUCUUAAAUAACACCUCCUUCUGGGGACUUAAGCAGUUACCUGGUGGCCCUCUCGUCAUCUUCAUGUGAGCCUCAGGUGUGGCUUGAAUAUGCUACAGCUCUGCAUAAG
rnacentral:lncRNA from 1 species